UCCCAACAGACAUCCCUGGUGGACACUUUCCUGCCAGGAAGCCAAGCUGUGGCACCUUCCUGUGGCUCUUCUGCUGCUCUCCAGCCCCAGCUGCUGCCUGAGCCAGGAGCCUUUUGUUAACUAUUUCCUGCUCUGGUUUCCAUGGAAAACAGAAAAUCACAUGCACCAUCUCCCAAGAGAGGACAGAAAUGCCUCUGUCCUGGAAAUCUCUCUGCCUUUAACAAAUGAGGCCAAAGAGAAAAACCAUCAAGAUGCAAACCAGGGAUUUCAAGUCUAUCUGCUCAAGUGCCACAAACCCUUAAUAUUUUAGAAUAAUCAAGUACUAAAAAAUUCCCAAGCUGUUUAGUUUCAGCUCAUUGCCCCAGGGCUUCUGUGUCUCCUGGGUAACACCGUCCACCAGCAGGAGACCUGGCAGCAUCCAAAGCCCUGUAAGUGAGAGGUUCAGUGCCCAAAGCUGGGCUGAGAUGUCCAGAAGAGGAGUGCCUGAUUUCAGCUCUUUGCAGUGCUGUUUGAAGCCUGAUUUCAGCACCUUGGAGUCUCAACUUCCAUGAGAUCUGCACUCGCACCAGGCCUCCUCGCCCAGCUGGAAGCUAAAAGCAGCUUUGUUUCAGUGGCUUCAGCUGGGCAGCAUUUGCCCCAUGACAUCUGAAGAACGGGGCUCAGCUGAGGUUCAAGGUGCAGGAGUGAGGAGGGAUGUGAGGAAGGCCCCAAGUUGUGAGCAGCUGAGGAACAGGUUCUGUCUUGCACUCCCGCUACAGCCACAUCAGAUGGGCCAUAAAUCAUGGAAUAAUACAGGCAGGAACUGGGACUUGUCUGUUCGGAGUGGAAGCCGUCAAGAAGUGCAUCCUCUCAGCCAGGGCCUGAAUUAGCUGGAACUUUCCUGAAAUUUCCAUCCCAGCUGGAACUUUCCUGAAAUUCUCCGUGCGGGAGCACAGCUUUCCACAAAGGGUCCAACAUAUCCACUGACAAAUGCCCAACAACUGAGCACGUUUAAGACUCACAGUCCCAGAUGAGCCAUUUAAUUAUUGAACAAACUUUCCAGAUGUGCUAAAGAUUCUCUGUGUAAUCACUGGGAUCACGGGGGCCAGGCUGGGUCAGCUCAUCCCAGAGUCUUUAGGGCUGCCAUGCAGGAAACACAUCCCAGUCCUUCAGCACUUGCUAAGGCUUCAGCAAGAUGUGCUCCAAGUGUGGCUACUAAACCAAGUGUAGUCUUGGAAAUAUUCCCAAACCAUCAAUCUCAGUGACAAUUAGGUAAGAAAUAUGAAUCCGUUGUUAUCAGUUCAGAGUUUUUCCAGUAACUUUCUACUUAAUCUUUGGAAUGUGCACUAUUCAAAGAGAGAGGAACACAGAUUUAAUUGGGAUGGGAGCAAAUGCAUAAGCCCAAUAUAAUUUGACUUUAAGGAAUGAUCCCAGUAUUUAAAACCUAUCAGUUUUGCCCUCCACCUCAGUUAUUAAUAGCAUAGGUGCAAAAGCAAUCAGCCACUUCUCUUGGGAUGACCCAAAGCUGCUGGGGUUGUGUGGGGAUCUGGAAGGGUAUCUGGGCACCUGCAGGUCAGAACAUUGUGUGCAGAUGCCCUGCUGAAUGCAGCCUG